rnacentral:rRNA from 1 species
UACGAAGGGGGCUAGCGUUGCUCGGAAUCACUGGGCGUAAAGGGUGCGUAGGCGGGUCUUUAAGUCAGGGGUGAAAUCCCGAGGCUCAACCUCGGAACUGCCUUUGAUACUGGGGAUCUCGAGUCCGGGAGAGGUGAGUGGAACUGCGAGUGUAAGAGGUGAAAUUCGUAGAUAUUCGCAAGAACACCAGUGGCGAAGGCGGCUCACUGGCCCGGAACUGACGCUGAGGUGCGAAAGCGUGGGGAGCAAACAGG